GCUUAUUAUACACUAUUCAACCUGUUUAGGUGAGAAACAUGUCAACAUAAUUAAUAUAUUGAUGAAUUUGUGUAAUCUUCAAGUACGUAUAAAUGAGAUUAUAAAAUCGAUGACUUAUUGAUACGGGUAUAUAUGUUAACUAAUUAAUUAUCUUAUUCGAAACAGUCCUGAGAAAAUCAAAGACGAAAUAUUAAUUUUGCCGCCCUCAACAUUGUUUUAUGAUAAUUUAUUUGUGUGUAGUCGACUUGAUGCAUUCUGACCACAAUAAUCUCCAUGUAUCGAUUAGUGCUUACUUCUAUGAGAAGGUUAAAAUCAUUUGUUCAGUCAGUGUUAUUGUUACCCAAAUUUCUAUGCUAUGACGUAUAUUCUAUUUAAAGCAGAGUCAGCUACAUGUAUAUGUCAGCUUGUAUAUAAAAAUUGUAUACCAAAGGAACAUUUAUCAUUUGUAAUAAUAAAGGCCGUGUGUUUACAGAAUAUGUUUGUAUAGGAGAGAAUAAUAUAGAAUUUAGAAUGUUAUAUAUAUAUUUUAGGUUUAACAUAUGGAACAAUGGCAAGUUUAAUGAAGUUAAAAAAGAACAUACAAGAACUCGAACAUAGUUUUAAAUUUUAUUAGAGUAUUAAAUCAUCAGUGUUAUGUGUCCUAACCAUUUAACAUAUAAGUUUUCAUACUAUAGAGCCAAUUUUACUUAACGGCUGUGAAAAUUGGGGAAGGAUAGAUAUAUACUUAAAUGAUAUACACAAAAAUUGAGAGCAAAAUAAGCUAAAAGGUGACCUAUAGUUGUUAAAUGCUGUGUCAUUUGGUCUCGUGUGAAGAGUUGUCUAAUUGACUAUCAUCCAAAUCUUCUUUUUAUUAAAUGUAUUCUGGUGUUAUAAAACAUUGUACAUGUUUUGCACUUUAUCGGAACAAGGAAAAUUCCCUCUAUUCUUUUUAUAUUUUACCCCAUGUAUCUGUAUUAUCAUCGCCUUGUUAAGUCUACUUAAACGAUAUUGACACUAUAUGUUAAUGAACAUCAAACAAUAGUUCACCCUGUGCUGGAAAAAAAAGGAUUAUAUAUUAUUCUGGAUUAUGUCAAAUAAUUACAUGCAGUUUGCUACAUGUACAUAUACGUCAUACUAAACAAUUCUUUGAUAUAAAGUUCUGUCGUCUUUAAUUUUGUAUAAAACAUUUUUGGAAAGGAUUUUGUUAAGUUGUUGUACACUUUUAAAAGAAAAAACAAUCUAUCGGAAUUCAGUGAUUAUCAGUAAUUAAUUUUGAAACAAAAAGGGUAAAAGAUCUUAAAACAAAUACUCUAUCUUCAAAACUAAAAUUUUUUCAACACUAUGCUUAUGAAUAAUAGAAGUAGACCAGGAAUUAUUCUAAUUGUAAACUGUAUGAGCUGACUUUCCCCGUUUUAUUACCGAACAAUAUUUGUUUAUUAUAUGUAUUAAUAAUCAUAAUGAUAUUGUACUGUCUAUAUUUGUAAUUUGAUUGAUAGGCAUGCAAUGAGCCUAACAAUUAGAAAAGAAAUGGUACAUACAUAAAAAAUGAAAAUACCACUUUGUAAAUCGUUUGCCCAAAAAAAUGUUUUUUUUCUAGAUUUACCUACCCUAGAAACGUUCAAAUUCGUUUGAUUUUCUGAAUCUAUGUAUAAAAUACCAAAGCAGUCAUGAUGAAAUGGGGAUUAUAUAUUGAAAUUACGACAGAUACAAAACAACAUGCAUCUCUCGAUCAUAACAAGGAAAGCAAGGAAAGCAAUUAAACUAAGCCACAUAAAACCCGGG
rnacentral:lncRNA from 1 species